AUUGAACGCUGGCGGCAGGCCUAACACAUGCAAGUCGAGCGAGCGGCGGACGGGUGAGUAAUGUCUGGGAAACUGCCUGCUGGAGGGGGAUAACUACUGGAAACGGUAGCUAAUACCGCAUACCAUCAGAUGUGCCCCGAUGGGCUUAGCUAGUAGGUGGGGUAACGGCUCACCUAGGCGACGAUCCCUAGCUGGUCUGAGAGGAGGACCAGCCACACGGGAACUGAGACACGGUACAGACUCCUACGGGAGGCAGCAGUGGGGAAUAUUGCACAAUGGGCGCAAGCCUGAUCCAGGCAUGCCGCGUGUGUGAAGAAGGCCGUCGGGUUGUAAAGCACUUUCGGCGGGGAGGCGGUACCCGCAGAAGAAGCACCGGCUAACUCCGUGCCAGCAGCCGCGGUAAUAC
rnacentral:rRNA from 1 species